AGCUCACAGACUGCGACCUGAGCCAAAGUCAGAAGCUCAACCGACUGAGCCACCCAGUGGCUACAGAAAACUUAAAAUUGCACAUGUGACUCAUGUGAUUUCUGCUGGACAGUGAAUUUCACCGUUAAUAAGAGCUAUGAAAAUGAUUGCCAUCUCUCAAGUCCCCCAUGGAGUCUGGAAAUUCAUGUAUCAGAUACCUUUGCUACCGACCCGUUGAACCCACUGAUCUGACCAAGCAAACCUAUGGGAAAAUGCUCUGAGAACUGCCCAGUGAGCCUCAGUGAUCGCUAAGGAAACACGGGUCACCCGUGGCCAACUGCUAUUAAAUGGUUGUUUAGUAACUUUAGUUACUUUGAAUAAAGAUGUUUAAAAAACCCCA